rnacentral:rRNA from 1 species
AACGAACGCUGGCGGCAUGCCUAACACAUGCAAGUCGAACGAGAUCUUCGGGUCUAGUGGCACACGGGUGCGUAACGCGUGGGAAUCUGCCCUUUGGUUCGGAAUAACAGUUGGAAACGACUGCUAAUACCGGAUGAUGACGAAAGUCCAAAGAUUUAUCGCCAGAGGAUGAGCCCGCGUAGGAUUAGCUAGUGGGUGUGGUAAAGGCGCACCAAGGCGACGAUCAUUAGCUGGUGUGAGAGGAUGAUCAGCGACACUGGGACUGAGACACGGCCCAAAUUCCUCCGGGAGCAAGCGGUGGGGAAUAUUGGACAAUGGGCGAAAGCCUCAUCCAGCAAUGCCGCGGGAGUGAUGAAGGCCUUAGGGUUGUAAAGCUCUUUUACCCGGGAUGAUAAUGACAGUACCGGGAGAAUAAGCUCCGGCUAACUCCGUGCCAGCAGCCGCCGCAG